AUACGGAGGGUGCAAGCGUUACUCGGAAUCACUGGGCGUAAAGCGCGCGCAGGCGGCUAUUUAAGUUGGAUGUGAAAGCCUACGGCUCAACCGUAGAACUGCAUCCAAAACUAUUUAGCUAGAGGGUGGGAGAGGAAGAUGGAAUUAGUUGUGUAGGGGUAAAAUCCGUAGAGAUAACUAGGAAUACCAAAAGCGAAGGCAAUCUUCUGGAACACUACUGACGCUGAGGCGCGAAAGCGUGGGGAGCAAACGGGAUUAGAAACCCUAGUAGUCC
rnacentral:rRNA from 1 species